rnacentral:rRNA from 1 species
GUGGGGAAUCUUGCGCAAUGGGGGAAACCCUGACGCAGCAACGCCGCGUGAGCGAUGAAGGCUUUCGGGUCGUAAAGCUCUGUUAGGUGGAAAGAAAUUUUUCCGAUUGAAUAAAUUGGAAAAUUGACGGUACCACCAGAGGAAGCACCGGCAAACUCCGUGCCAGCAGCCGCGGUAAUACGGAGGGUGCAAGCGUUGUUCGGAAUCAUUGGGCGUAAAGAGCGUGUAGGUGGUUAAAUAAGUCAGAUGUGAAAUCCCUUGGCUCAACCAAGGAAGUGCAUCUGAAACUGUUUAGCUUGAGUACGGGAGGGGAAUGGCGGAAUUCCCAGUGUAGAGGUGAAAUUCAUAGAUAUUGGGAGGAACACCAGUGGCGAAGGCGGCCUUCUAGCCCGAUACUGACACUGAGACGCGAAAGCGUGGGGAGCAAACAGGAUUAGAAACCCUAGUAGUCC